GGCAGUGUACCACAGUGGUAAGGAGCAGGGCUUUUGACCGAAAGGUUGCUGGUUCGAUACCCCACUGGUG